GAUGAACGCUGGCGGCGUGCCUAAUACAUGCAAGUCGAGCGAACAGAUGAGGAGCUUGCUCCUCUGACGUUAGCGGCGGACGGGUGAGUAACACGUGGAUAACCUACCUAUAAGACUGGGAUAACUUCGGGAAACCGGAGCUAAUACCGGAUAAUAUAUUGAACCGCAUGGUUCAAUAGUGAAAGACGGUUUUGCUGUCACUUAUAGAUGGAUCCGCGCCGCAUUAGCUAGUUGGUAAGGUAACGGCUUACCAAGGCAACGAUGCGUAGCCGACCUGAGAGGGUGAUCGGCCACACUGGAACUGAGACACGGUCCAGACUCCUACGGGAGGCAGCAGUAGGGAAUCUUCCGAAAUGGGCGAAAGCCUGACGGAGCAACGCCGCGUGAGUGAUGAAGGUCUUCGGAUCGUAAAACUCUGUUAUUAGGGAAGAACAAAUGUGUAAGUAACUAUGCACGUCUUGACGGUACCUAACCAGAAAGCCACGGCUAACUACGUG
rnacentral:rRNA from 1 species